rnacentral:lncRNA from 1 species
CUCUCUCUCUCUGGUCUUUUGUGGUAUUUUCCAGAGUUGACAGACUCCAGGCAGGUAUAUUUGCUUGCUUUUGCUUUGUUUGGAAAACCAAGGCACACCCAACAGCACCACCAAGACACCCAAUAGGUAAGUCCCUGUGGUUUUGCUGCUUAGGUCUAUACAAGUAUUAACAGACAGUGAGACAGAGAUAGUGGAUGUUUGAUGAGGUUUAAUUUGUGGUCCAUAACUUGUACACCCAAAAACUCAUAAAGGUUUCAUAUUUAAGGUCCUGUUAGUACUUGGUCUGGAAAUAAACAGUUCGAAAUAAUAAUUGUACAAGUGGUUAAAAAAGCAGUUACGCACUUGCAUCUAAGGUCGUGUGUUCGAAUUCCUCCCCAAUAUCGUUGUAUAAAAAAAAGUAAAUUGCAUCACACUGAAAGUAAAAUGGGAUUUGAGACUGAAAAUGGAAGAAAGAAAGGGUUUAAUUCUAUUUAUUUUCAUUGACUUUGAAUCUAUCUCUGGGUUUGUGAUGUUGCAGUGCAGACAUUUCUUUGGCUGCAAAUCAAAAUGGGAUAUGUUGUGGUGGUAUCAGUUCCUGUGAUAUUGUUCAUCGUGAUUAUAGCCCUUGCUUUUUACCUCAUUGGUAGGGCAAACGGCCGAAGGGAAGCUGUCUCUGCUCAACAGCAUUUUGGGCCUCCAGUGCCUCCUCCACUACAGGCCCAGGAAAAGUCCGACCAGGUCUGAAAAAUCCUGGGAGUAAAAAUUGUGUGUCUGCUGUUGUAAGAAAAGAAACCGUCAAAUGUGUAUGCAUAAAACAAUUGAUUUCUAUAAUUUUGAAAAAUAAUUAAUUGGGUCCAUGGAGGUUUCUAUUUGGAACAAAGAACCAAGAAAGCCAAAUGCUGUUUUAAAUAGCGCCCCUCUUUUAGAGAAACCAAAGUAGCAAACAAUUUCCAUAUACACAAUAUACAAUGCAGAUGGAGCAAGUAAAGGCAGAUGACAGCAUAGACUUUC